GGAGCAGCUUCUGGAGAGACCGUGUAAACGGCGCCGAAGGGUUCACAAUCUCAGGCAAAAGGACAGAAGAGUACUA
rnacentral:ncRNA from 2 species